CCAAUUGUUUUAAUAACAAAUGACGUGAGUUGGGUUAAAGAUAGCCCAAAUAAAACCGGAUGAAUUGCAAGGAAGACCUCAGAUAGAGGUUAAUUUGCAGCGAAGCUUAUGAAGCAUAAUAAGUAAUAAGAACGUUCAACGACUAGAUGGUGAGUAAUGCAAACAAUAAUCCAUCCACGAGCGUCCGGGGUCAAGAGCUCAGCACUUGAUUAUGACAUAGUCUGUACAAUAGUGUAAACUAUUG